rnacentral:rRNA from 1 species
GGCGCACGGGUGCGUAACGCGUAUGCAAUCUACCUUUUACAGAGGGAUAGCCCAGAGAAAUUUGGAUUAAUACCUCAUAGCAUUGCAGGAUGGCAUCAUCCAGCAAUUAAAGUCACAACGGUAAAAGAUGAGCAUGCGUCCCAUUAGCUAGUUGGUAAGGUAACGGCUUACCAAGGCUACGAUGGGUAGGGGUCCUGAGAGGGAGAUCCCCCACACUGGUACUGAGACACGGACCAGACUCCUACGGGAGGCAGCAGUGAGGAAUAUUGGACAAUGGGCGCAAGCCUGAUCCAGCCAUGCCGCGUGCAGGAUGACGGUCCUAUGGAUUGUAAACUGCUUUUGCACAGGAAGAAACAACGCUACGUGUAGCGUCUUGACGGUACUGUGAGAAUAAGGAUCGGCUAACUCCGUGCCAGCAGCCGCGGUAAUACGGAGGAUCCAAGCGUUAUCCGGAAUCAUUGGGUUUAAAGGGUCCGUAGGCGGGUUAGUAAGUCAGUGGUGAAAGCCCAUCGCUCAACGGUGGAACCGGCCAUUGAUACUGCUAGACUUGAAUUAUUAGGAAGUAACUAGAAUAUGUAGUGUAGCGGUGAAAUGCUUAGAGAUUACAUGGAAUACCAAUUGCGAAGGCAGGUUACUACUAAUGGAUUGACGCUGAUGGACGAAAGCGUGGGUAGCGAACAGGAUUAGAUACCCUGGUAGUCCACGCCGUAAACGAUGGAUACUAGCUGUUGGGAGCGAUCUCAGUGGCUAAGCGAAAGUGAUAAGUAUCCCACCUGGGGAGUACGUUCGCAAGAAUGAAACUCAAAGGAAUUGACGGGGGCCCGCACAAGCGGUGGAGCAUGUGGUUUAAUUCGAUGAUACGCGAGGAACCUUACCAAGGCUUAAAUGUAGAUUGACCGGUUUGGAAACAGACUUUUCGCAAGACAAUUUACAAGGUGCUGCAUGGUUGUCGUCAGCUCGUGCCGUGAGGUGUCAGGUUAAGUCCUAUAACGAGCGCAACCCCUGUUGUUAGUUGCCAGCGAGUCAUGUCGGGAACUCUAACGAGACUGCCAGUGCAAACUGUGAGGAAGGUGGGGAUGACGUCAAAUCAUCACGGCCCUUACGCCUUGGGC